AUGGGUGAUCUCAAUGAGAUUCUUUAUCCUUUUGAGAAAGAACGGGGCAGUCUACGUCCUAGUCAUUUUAUGCAAGCAUUUAGAAAAGUCCUGACUGAUUGUAGUUUGGAUGAUUGUGGAUAUGUUAGAGAAAAAUUUACAUGGCACUGUGGACGUAUCCGAGAAUGACUAGACCAAGCUCUGUCAAAUGAGGAGUGGAACCAAAAAUUUGGGAAUGUGGUUCUGAAAAAUAUGGACUACAGCAAGCCAGAUCAUAGACCAAUACUUAUGAACACAGAACCAAAAUCAAUCGACAAACAGAAUGGGCCUAUUGUGCUUAGAUUUGAAGCAAAAGUGGCUUAA
rnacentral:rRNA from 1 species